rnacentral:rRNA from 1 species
CUACGGGGGGCUGCAGUGGGGAAUAUUGGACAAUGGGGGAAACCCUGAUCCAGCAAUGCCGCGUGUGUGAAGAAGGCCUGCGGGUUGUAAAGCACUUUCGGUUGGGAGGACUGCUUCUAGCACUAAUAUUGUUGGAAGUUGACGUUACCUUCAGAAGAAGCACCGGCUAACUCCGUGCCAGCAGCCGCGGUAAUACGGAGGGUGCAAGCGUUAAUCGGAAUUACUGGGCGUAAAGCGCGCGUAGGCGGCUAGAUCAGUCGAGUGUGAAAGCCCCGGGCUUAACCUGGGAACUGCAUCCGAUACUGUCUAGCUUGAGUACAGGAGAGGAGAGUGGAAUUCCACAUGUAGCGGUGAAAUGCGUAGAUAUGUGGAGGAACACCAAUGGCGAAGGCAGCUCUCUGGCCUGAUACUGACGCUGAGGUGCGAAAGCGUGGGGAUCAAACAGGAUUAGAUACCCUCGUAGUC